rnacentral:rRNA from 1 species
GAUGAACGCUGGCUACAGGCUUAACACAUGCAAGUCGAGGGGAAACGCCGGGGAAGCUUGCUUCCCCGGGCGUCGACCGGCGCACGGGUGAGUAACGCGUAUCCAACCUGCCUCUGACUGAGGGAUAACCCGUCGAAAGUCGGCCUAAUACCUCAUGGUAUCGUCUGCGGGCAUCCAACGACGAUUAAAGAUUUCAUCGGUCAGAGAUGGGGAUGCGUCUGAUUAGCUUGUUGGCGGGGUAACGGCCCACCAAGGCGACGAUCAGUAGGGGUUCUGAGAGGAAGGUCCCCCACAUUGGAACUGAGACACGGUCCAAACUCCUACGGGAGGCAGCAGUGAGGAAUAUUGGUCAAUGGGCGAGAGCCUGAACCAGCCAAGUAGCGUGCAGGAUGACGGCCCUAUGGGUUGUAAACUGCUUUUAUGCGGGGAUAAAGUGAGGGACGUGUCCUUCAUUGCAGGUACCGCAUGAAUAAGGACCGGCUAAUUCCGUG